UACGUAGGGGGCAAGCGUUGUCCGGAUUUAUUGGGCGUAAAGAGCGUGUAGGCGGUUAGGUAGGUCCGUUGUGAAAACUCGAGGCUCAACCUCGAGACGCCGAUGGAAACCAUCUGACUAGAGUCCGGAAGAGGAGAGUGGAAUUCCUGGUGUAGCGGUGAAAUGCGCAGAUAUCAGGAGGAAUACCGGUGGUGUAGACGGCUCUCUGGACCGCCACUGACGCUGAGACACGAAAGCGUGGGUAGCAAACAGG
rnacentral:rRNA from 1 species